rnacentral:rRNA from 1 species
AUUGAACGCUGGCGGAAUGCUUUACACAUGCAAGUCGAACGGCAGCACGGGAGCUUGCUCCUGGUGGCGAGUGGCGAACGGGUGAGUAAUGCGUCGGAACGUACCGAGUAAUGGGGGAUAACGCAGCGAAAGCUGUGCUAAUACCGCAUACGCCCUGAGGGGGAAAGUGGGGGAUCGCAAGACCUCACGUUAUUCGAGCGGCCGACGUCUGAUUAGCUAGUUGGUGGGUAAAGGGCCUACCAAGGCGACGAUCAGUAGCGGGUCGUGAGAGGAUGAUCCGCCACACUGGAACUGAGACACGGUCCAGACUCCUACGGGAGGCGAGCAGUGGGGAAUUUUGGACAAUGGGGGCAACCCUGAUCCAGCCAUUCCGCGUGAGUGAAGAAGGCCUCGGUUGUAAGU